AGGAGUGAGAAUCCAGAAUGAUGAGAGACCAACCAGCAGGGGAAGGAAGUCCCUGGGAGGCGAGUUGUGCGCACCUGCCUUUUCUGCACACAGGCCUGGCCCUGUGCACUGCUGACAGGAGCCUGGCCUCCUCAGGAACCUCCAAGGAUUUGGCUUCGGGACAAUGCAGGGCUGCAUCCACAUUGAGACGAGCUUGGUUUCCUCAGGACCGGCUGGGAGGUGCCUCCAUGGGAGAAAAAGGUCGUCCAGAACACCCAAGACAAGACUUCCCUUGUGGUGCAGUGGUUAAGAAUCCACCUGCCAAUGCACGGGACACGGGUUCGAUCCCUGGUCCGGGAAGA